rnacentral:rRNA from 1 species
CCUACGGGGUGCAGCAGUGAGGAAUAUUGGUCAAUGGGCGGAAGCCUGAACCAGCCAAGUCGCGUGAGGGAUUAAGGCCCUGCGGGUCGUAAACCUCUUUUGCCGGGGAGCAGAGGUCCGGACGUGUCCGGGCCGGGAGAGUACCCGGAGAAAAAGCAUCGGCUAACUCCGUGCCAGCAGCCGCGGUAAUACGGAGGAUGCGAGCGUUAUCCGGAUUUAUUGGGUUAACAGGGUGCGUAGGCGGGCAUUUAAGCCGGCGGUCAAAUGUCGGGGCUCAACCCCGGCCUGCCGUCGGAACUGGGUGCCUUGAGUGGGCGAGAAGUAUGCGGAAUGCGUGGUGUAGCGGUGAAAUGCAGAGAUAUCACGCAGAACCCCGAUUGCGAAGGCAGCAUACCGGCGCCCUACUGACGCUGAGGCACGAAAGUGCGGGUAUCGAACAGGAUUAGAUACCCGAGUAGUC